rnacentral:rRNA from 1 species
ACUCCUACGGGAGGCAGCAGUGGGGAAUAUUGGACAAUGGGGGCAACCCUGAUCCAGCCAUGCCGCGUGAGUGAAGAAGGCCCUAGGGUCGUAAAGCUCUUUCAACUGUGAAGAUAAUGACGGUAGCAGUAGAGAAACCUCGGCUAACUCCGUGCCAGCAGCCGCGGUAAUACGGAGGGGGUUAGCGUUGUUCGGAAUUACUGGGCGUAAAGCGCACGUAGGCGGACUAUUAAGUUAGAGGUGAAAUCCCAGGGCUCAACCCUGGAACUGCCUUUAAUACUGGUAGUCUUGAGUUCGAGAGAGGUGAGUGGAAUUCCGAGUGUAGAGGUGAAAUUCGUAGAUAUUCGGAGGAACACCAGUGGCGAAGGCGGCUCACUGGCUCGAUACUGACGCUGAGGUGCGAAAGUGUGGGGGAGCAAACAGGAUUAGAUA